UAAUUAGUUGGUAGUUGAAUUUAAUCAAUUUGGAUCCAAAUUGAAUCCAAGUCAGUCGAAGUCCAAGUUGUAAUUCAGUCCUACACCAGUGCAAACCUUGGAGGUAUUUAAGAAAAUGUCAUGUUUCAAUAUAUUUUUGAUGGUUCAAAAACAUACAUGUUAUAGUGUUAUACAUUUUUAAUAAUUCAUUUCCACAAUCACUUUUUACAGUGUACACCUAUCUACACAAAAAAUAUGGGAAAGAGAUUUGUCCGCUGCUUUGUGAAACAAUUCCGCCGUGCUGUGCGUCUACAAGUACGAGAAGAUGCAACUGCAGCUGAUAUUGGGGUUGUGCUCCGCAACAAUAUCCCCAUUUCUGACCUCCCAAAUAAUGACGAAGUUGCUGAAACUUUAGUAACUGCAGCAAAUAGCAAUGAGACCUUAGGUGUGGUUCUGUCUGCAUCCUCGAUUCAAACUAUAUGUAAGUAAACGCAACAUGUUUUUUUUAACCAAAGAAAGACAAAGUUUUUGAGGUCAAAGUUUCAAAGUUUUUUGAAAAAUAUUUUUUUACAGCUGGUCCAGUUCCUGCAACUGCGACAACCACAGUUGCAGCAACUACAAUUUCUGUCAUGACAACCACCACAUCUGCAGCUGUUACAACAAGUAAACAACACAAUAAAUAACCAAUUUUUUACUUUUUCCUCAACUGAUAAUACCUUCUCAUUUUCAGCUUCAAGCGGAGUCAACCAGAACAUCACUGCAUUCUCUCUGGUACUGUUGUUAUGGUUACUGUCAAACCACCAAUAAAAUCCUGAUUAUUGUCAUUUAUUGACAGCAUCCAGCAACACUAUAAUAGCAGUGCGCAUAAUAAUAAUAUAUAUGUUUAUGUUAUAUUGAAAACUGUUCUGCAUUCUCCUGAUUUAUAAAGUUAACAUUAUAGACCUCCUUUUUUACUAUGUUACAAUACUAUCACUGAGAAAAGAAACGAAGUGAUAUAUGACAACAAUCACAGUUCUUGAAAUUAUCCAUUGAUGAGAAUUGUCUUUAUCUUGUAUUAUGUGUUUUGCCAUAUGUUCCUGUCUUCUCUUGGAAGUUAGGCAUGGUAGACUCAUGAGCAAAUGUAACAAAGAUUAGAGACAUUCCUUUCACAGGAUUGUUGUUGUUGUUCCAUUGUAAUCUCAGGAGUCAGUCAGGCAGGGGGUGUUAAACACCCAUCAUAAACGGGGCAUCAGGGUGGGGUUGAUGAUCUUAUUUGCAUAAAGAAUGGGAACUUUUAUCUGGCCACCUGGGAAGAUAAUGGAGAAGAAGGACUGUAUCAACACCAAAGGAGACGGGAAGAAGAGGACGAGGUCAUCCCAGCAGAGGAAUUGGAUUGGAUUGUAUGAACAUUGAGAAUUUGCAUGUGUGUUUCUAUAAAAGACUGGGCCAAGGGAUAGUUGCAGCACUUUUUGAAACGGGGAAACACAAAACACGGUGGUGAGACAAAAUGGAACCAAACGCGCAUAGGUGUGCAGAGCGCACAGUAAAGGCAAACUAAACAACAUAAUUGGGAUCGUAACACAACAAUUACCAUUGCUUCAAAACCAGCUGAAGCUCCAAUGACUAUUGACAAAUAAGGAACCAACAAUUUGGCUUUGGUUUGAAUCAAAGUGACUUUGAACACACCUACCUUGAAAGCUUAGUACCUGUCAAAUCACCAUGACAUCUUUGAACUUUAGUUGUUGUCAAUGAGCUAAUACAAUGGGUAUCUGAAUUAGCUCUAUGAUCUUGGGGUCCAGGCCCCAAGUGGCACAAAGGUCCUUUGUCUCCUACUGUCCUUCCCCACCUUCCUGUGCUCCUUCGUUUAAAUAUUGCAGAUUCCCAUCCUGAUUAUUACUAUUUGUCUAUAUUUGCAUCCAGCCUGAUCAUUACCUUUUGUUCAUUGUACGGUAACCCAAAAUGACUCACACUGUCAGUCAGUUCACCAAGGUGCGGUCUACUUUGUAACAGGAUCGCACGCCACAGCAAACCUCUAACGCUGGGCCAUUCAAUUUGCGGCCCCCGGGCCAGGUUUGGCCCCUACGAAAUUUUGUACUGGCCCUCAUUUUGUACUGUAAUUAUGAUGGAGAGUCCCA
ensembl:lncRNA